rnacentral:rRNA from 1 species
UCGGGAAUAUUGCGCAAUGGAGGAAACUCUGACGCAGUGACGCCGCGUGCAGGAAGAAGGUUUUCGGAUUGUAAACUGCUUUAGACAGGGAAGAAAAAAGACAGUACCUGUAGAAUAAGCUCCGGCUAACUACGUGCCAGCAGCCGCGGUAAUACGUAGGGAGCAAGCGUUAUCCGGAUUUAUUGGGUGUAAAGGGUGCGUAGACGGGAAAACAAGUUAGUUGUGAAAUCCCUCGGCUUAACUGAGGAACUGCAACUAAAACCUAUUUUUUCUUGAGUGCUGGAGAGGAAAGUGGAAUUCCUAGUGUAGCGGUGAAAUGCGUAGAUAUUAGGAGGAACACCAGUGGCGAAGGCGACUUUCUGGACAGUAACUGACGUUGAGGCACGAAAGUGUGGGGAGCAAACAGGAUUAGAUACCC